AUAUCAAUAAGCGGAGGAAAAGAAACCAACAGGGAUUGCCCUAGUAACGGCGAGUGAAGCGGCAACAGCUCAAAUUUGAAAUCUGGCGUCUUCGGCGUCCGAGUUGUAAUUUGCAGAGGGCGCUUUGGCAUUGGCAGCGGUCCAAGUUCCUUGGAACAGGACGUCACAGAGGGUGAGAAUCCCGUACGUGGUCGCUAGCCUUUACCGUGUAAAGCCCCUUCGACGAGUCGAGUUGUUUGGGAAUGCAGCUCUAAAUGGGAGGUAAAUUUCUUCUAAAGCUAAAUACUGGCCAGAGACCGAUAGCGCACAAGUAGAGUGAUCGAAAGAUGAAAAGCACUUUGGAAAGAGAGUUAAAAAGCACGUGAAAUUGUUGAAAGGGAAGCGCUUGCAGCCAGACUUGCCUGUAGUUGCUCAUCCGGGUUUCUACCCGGUGCACUCUUCUACGGGCAGGCCAGCAUCAGUUUGGGCGGUUGGAUAAAGGUCUCUGUCAUGUACCUCUCUUCGGGGAGAACUUAUAGGGGAGACGACAUGCAACCAGCCUGGACUGAGGUCCGCGCAUCUGCUAGGAUGCUGGCGUAAUGGCUGUAAGCGGCCCGUCUUGAAACACGGACCAAGGAGUCUAACAUCUAUGCGAGUGUUUGGGUGUCAAGCCCGAGCGCGUAAUGAAAGUGAACGGAGGUGGGAACCCUUCGGGGUGCACCAUCGACCGAUCCUGAUGUCUUCGGAUGGAUUUGAGUAAGAGCAUAGCUGUUGGGACCCGAAAGAUGGUGAACUAUGCUUGAAUAGGGUGAAGCCAGAGGAAACUCUGGUGGAGGCUCGCAGCGGUUCUGACGUGCAAAUCGAUCGUCAAAUUUGGGCAUAGGGGCGAAAGACUAAUCGAACUAUCUAGUAGC
rnacentral:sRNA from 1 species